GACUCCUUCAUCAUCAGGAUGCCAGAUAAUAUUUUAAAAGCUGACUCCACCAGAGACCCAAUUCUUGAACUUUUAAUGCACAUUUGGAAAUCCAUUGUGUUUAGUUGGCUUAGAUUAUAAACUGCAGGAGAACAGGAAGUGUAUCAAUUAUGUUCCAGUUUCUGGGAUGUACUCUUCUAGUGGAUCCACAAGCAAAAGGGAAGAGAGGAGUGUGAAGGCAGAGAAAAUAAAGCACAACCUAUGAAAUUAUAGCUUGCAGUUUUGCCAGAAUGAUGCUCUAUUAAUGCUCAGUCCCUCUUAACUUCUCACUUAAAACCCAAUUGGGAAAAAUGACCAACUAAUAGAGGCUAUUCCAUAUACUUACUAGAAUAUAUGAGUUUUACAAAUUGGAAUGAUAGGCAUUGAUAUUGACACAUCUGAAGAAGGAGUGAUCAAAGAGAAGUGGCCCUGGAGCUCUCCCCAUGAAAAGAUUAAAUUUUUAAGAAGAUGCUGCUCACCUAAAACUUAUCAAUAAAGUCAACUAUAGUUUCAAAUUGGCAAAUCAUUGUAUGGAAAAACAAUAAAACUAUGAAAUAAA
rnacentral:lncRNA from 1 species